CCGAGUUAACGCUUCUUUUAGAAGUGAACUCCCACCCCUUGUCAAUAAUAAAAUGUUGCUUCGGCAGACCACUGUUUUACAGUCACUGAUAUCUGAUAUGAGUGAGUGUCUGCCGAAGAAUUUUAUACUCUAAGUUUUAAACGUCUUAUUGUCUAAAUAAAAAUUAAAUAA
rnacentral:misc_RNA from 1 species